UCGACCUCAAAUCAGGUAGGACUACCCGCUGAACUUAAGCAUAUCAAUAAGCGGAGGAAAAGAAACUAACAAGGAUUCCCCUAGUAACUGCGAGUGAAGCGGGAACAGCUCAAAUUUCGAAUCUGGCGGUCUUCGGCCGUCCGAGUUGUAAUCUAGAGAAGCGU
rnacentral:rRNA from 1 species